GACCAUUCCGGUGGCCUAGUUGUUAAAGCGUCCGCCUCAGAUGCGGGAGGACGCGAGUUCGAACUCCGGCUGAGUCA